rnacentral:sRNA from 1 species
GUAUUUACUUAGUAUCUUGGACAGAUUUAAGCACGAACUACAGAAUAGAGUUAUAACAAUAGAGAGUUACUUGGAGUUAAUGAGAAAAGGAACAAAUUCUUUACCAAAUAAUAAAUUCCAAUCUGAUUUUGAGGAAACUUUUCCCAUCGUGCGCCGUUUAUAUUCCGAUUAUUCCCGUUUAGUGACAUUUCUUGACAAAAAGCCUUGGGAUGAUUGUAUUAGGGCUAUCAACGAUCAUAAACCAAAGAUGCCAACAGCUAUGGAUAUAAUAGAGACGACAGACGGAUUGCACUACAUGCAGGCCGUUUACUCAAUAAAGAGUUCUCACAUGGC